rnacentral:tRNA from 1 species
GGUGUUGUAGCUCAGUGGUAGAGCACUUGCCUAGCUAGUAUGUGCAAGGCCCUGGGUUCGAUCCUUAGCACCA